UGCCAGCCGCCGCGGUAAUACGGAGGGAGCGAGCGUUAAUCGGAAUUACUGGGCGUAAAGCGCGCGUAGGCGGCUUUGUAAGUCGGAUGUGAAAGCCCUGGGCUCAACCUGGGAAUUGCAUUCGAUACUGCAUGGCUAGAGUAUGGUAGAGGGAAGUGGAAUUUCCGGUGUAGCGGUGAAAUGCGUAGAUAUCGGAAGGAACACCAGUGGCGAAGGCGACUUUCUGGACUGAUACUGACACUGAGACGCGAAAGCGUGGGGAGCGAACGGGAUUAGAUA
rnacentral:rRNA from 1 species